rnacentral:rRNA from 1 species
GUGGCCAAGUUUUUAAGGGCGCACGGUGGAUGCCUUGGCACCAGGAACCGAUGAAGGACGUGGGAGGCCACGAUAGUCCCCGGGGAGCUGUCAACCAAGCUUUGAUCCGGGGGUUUCCGAAUGGGGAAACCCGGCAGUCGUCAUGGGCUGUCACCCGCUGCUGAACACAUAGGCAGUGUGGAGGGAACGAGGGGAAGUGAAACAUCUCAGUACCCUCAGGAAGAGAAAACAACCGUGAUUCCGGGAGUAGUGGCGAGCGAAACUGGAUGAGGCCAAACCGUAUGCGUGUGAUACCCGGCAGGGGUUGCGCAUGCGGGGUUGUGGGAUCUCUCUUUCACAGUCUGCCGGCUGUGAGACGAGUCAGAAACCGUUGAUGUAGGCGAAGGACAUGCGAAAGGUCCGGCGUAGAGGGUAAGACCCCCGUAGCUGAAACAUCAGCGGCUUGUUUGAGAGACACCCAAGUAGCACGGGGCCCGAGAAAUCCCGUGUGAAUCUGGCGGGACCACCCGCUAAGCCUAAAUAUUCCCUGGUGACCGAUAGCGGAUAGUACCGUGAGGGAAUGGUGAAAAGUACCGCGGGAGCGGAGUGAAAUAGUACCUGAAACCGUGUGCCUACAAGCCGUGGGAGCGUCGCGCAUCGAGCUUGCUCGGUGCGUCGUGACUGCGUGCCUUUUGAAGAAUGAGCCUGCGAGUUAGCGGUGUGUAGCGAGGUUAACCCGUGUGGGGAAGCCGUAGCGAAAGCGAGUCCGAACAGGGCGUUUGAGUUGCACGCUCUAGACCCGAAGCGGAGUGAUCUAGCCAUGGGCAGGUUGAAGCGGAGGUAAGACUUCGUGGAGGACCGAACCCACCAGGGUUGAAAACCUGGGGGAUGACCUGUGGUUAGGGGUGAAAGGCCAAUCAAACUCCGUGAUAGCUGGUUCUCCCCGAAAUGCAUUUAGGUGCAGCGUCGUGUGUUUCUUGCCGGAGGUAGAGCACUGGAUAGGCGAUGGGCCCUACCGGGUUACUGACCUUAGCCAAACUCCGAAUGCCGGUAAGUGAGAGCGCGGCAGUGAGACUGUGGGGGAUAAGCUCCAUGGUCGAGAGGGAAACAGCCCAGAGCAUCGACUAAGGCCCCUAAGCGUACGCUAAGUGGGAAAGGAUGUGGAGUCGCAGAGACAACCAGGAGGUUGGCUUAGAAGCAGCCACCCUUGAAAGAGUGCGUAAUAGCUCACUGGUCAAGUGAUUCCGCGCCGACAAUGUAGCGGGGCUCAAGCGUACCGCCGAAGUCGUGUCAAUCCAACAAUAGGGCCAACGCCCGUUGGGUUGGGUAGGGGAGCGUCGUGUGCCGGGUGAAGCAGCCGCGGAAGCGAGUUGUGGACGGUUCACGAGUGAGAAUGCAGGCAUGAGUAGCGAUACACACGUGAGAAACGUGUGCGCCGAUUGACUAAGGGUUCCUGGGUCAAGCUGAUCUGCCCAGGGUAAGUCGGGACCUAAGGCGAGGCCGACAGGCGUAGUCGAUGGACAACCGGUUGAUAUUCCGGUACCCGCUUUGAAACGCCCAGUACUGAAUCAGGCGAUGCUAAGUCCGUGAAGCCGGCCCGAUCUCUUCGGAGUUGAGGGUAGUGGUGGAGCCGAUGAACCAGACUUGUAGUAGGUAAGCGAUGGGGUGACGCAGGAAGGUAGUCCAGCCCGGGCGGUGGUUGUCCCGGGGUAAGGGUGUAGGACG